CCAUCUUAGAUUGGAAUGUGAGGACCAUUUCCCAUUCACAUUGCAUAAGUGUCCAGAGGUUCAACCAGAUGCAAUAAUAAUUGCUUUUUGUUAGUUGAACUUGUGAAACAUAGUUCUGUCCCAAAAUGAUCUUACAACAUUAACUUCUGUUUAUUUGUUGUGUCAUUCUAUGUACAAAAACAGAAUGAAUAGGUUAGUGUCAUCAC
rnacentral:misc_RNA from 1 species